GACGGAGGGUGCAAGCGUUGUUCGGAAUCACUGGGCGUAAAGCGCGUGUAGGCGGUCCGAAAAGUCGAGUGUGAAAGCCCGAGGCUCAACCUCGGAAGUGCAUUCGAAACUCUUGGGCUUGAGUACUGGAGAGGGAAGCGGAAUUCCUGGUGUAGAGGUGAAAUUCGUAGAUAUCAGGAGGAACACCGGUGGCGAAGGCGGCUUCCUGGACAGAUACUGACGCUGAGACGCGAAAGCGUGGGGAGCAAACAGG
rnacentral:rRNA from 1 species